UAAACUAGCUUGGUCUCCUUCUUCCCCUACUCCUUGUAAUCCUGUUCCUGUUUCUUGUAAUGUUAGUAAUAAACAAGUUGUUUCUUGUAAUACUAGUAAUAAACAAGUUGUUUCCGUGCCUUCUUGUAAUGCUGAUCUUUUAUCUGACAACAAGACUGUUUCUAUGCAUUCUCAUGUUAAUAGUUCCACUUGUAAUAAUGAUUUUAAUUCUGAUAUGAAUUACACUUGGCACUUAAGACUUGNNN
rnacentral:lncRNA from 1 species